rnacentral:rRNA from 1 species
CCUACGGGGGGCAGCAGUAGGGAAUAUUGCUCAAUGGGGGAAACCCUGAAGCAGCAACGCCGCGUGGAGGAUGAAGGUUUUAGGAUUGUAAACUCCUUUUGUUAGAGAGGAUUAUGACGGUAUCUAACGAAUAAGCACCGGCUAACUCCGUGCCAGCAGCCGCGGUAAUACGGAGGGUGCAAGCGUUACGCGGAAUCACUGGGCGUAAAGAGUGCGUAGGCGGGGUAAUAAGUCAGAUGUGAAAUCCCGGAGCUUAACUAGAGAACUGCAUUUGAUACUGGUACUCUGGAGUGUGGGAGAGGUAGGUGGAAUUCUUGGUGUAGGGGUAAAAUGCGUAGAGAUCAAGAGGAAUACUCAUUGCGAAGGCGACCUGCUGGAACAUUACUGACGCUGAUGCACGAAAGCGUGGGGAGCAAACAGGAUUAGAUACCCGAGUAGUC